AGCUCCAAUAGCGUAUAUUAAAGUUGUUGCAGUUAAAAAGCUCGUAGUUGGAUUUCUGCAAGUUUGGGAUGUCCUUAGGCACGGUCUUGAACUAGCAUUUUUGGGUGGAAUCUGUGCGGCAUUAGGUUGUCGUGCAGUGGAUGCUCAUCAUUUACUGUGAAAAAAUUAGAGUGUUCAAAGCAGGCAUACGCCAUUGAAUA
rnacentral:rRNA from 1 species